UACGUAGGGCGCGAGCGUUGUCCGGAAUUAUUGGGCGUAAAGGGCGCGUAGGCGGCCAGCACAAGUCAGUUGUGAAAUCUCCGGGCUUAACUCGGAAAGGUCAACUGAUACUGUGCGGCUAGAGUGCAGAAGGGGCAACUGGAAUUCUCGGUGUAGCGGUGAAAUGCGUAGAUAUCGAGAGGAACACCUGCGGCGAAGGCGGGUUGCUGGGCUGACACUGACGCUGAUGCGCGAAAGCCAGGGGAGCGAACGGG
rnacentral:rRNA from 1 species